GUGGGGAAUUUUGGACAAUGGGCGCAAGCCUGAUCCAGUAAUGCCGCGUGCAGGAAGAAGGCCUUCGGGUUGUAAACUGCUUUUGUACGGAACGAAACGGUCCGGGUUAAUACCCUGGGCUAAUGACGGUACCGUAAGAAUAAGCACCGGCUAACUACGUGCCAGCAGCCGCGGUAAUACGUAGGGUGCGAGCGUUAAUCGGAAUUACUGGGCGUAAAGCGUGCGCAGGCGGUGAUGUAAGACAGAUGUGAAAUCCCCGGGCUCAACCUGGGAACUGCAUUUGUGACUGCAUCGCUGGAGUGCGGCAGAGGGGGAUGGAAUUCCGCGUGUAGCAGUGAAAUGCGUAGAUAUGCGGAGGAACACCGAUGGCGAAGGCAAUCCCCUGGGCCUGCACUGACGCUCAUGCACGAAAGCGUGGGGAGCAAACAGGAUUAGAUACCCCAGUAGUCC
rnacentral:rRNA from 1 species